AGACGGAGGAGGAGCCUGAUCAGACACGGGGUUGAUGGUGCAUUCACUGACAGUCAGACUCCUCACUGCUUUGCUGGUUAUUUGUUCUAAAGGCCCUGUUUGCUGCAUCUGGACCUCGUUCAUUGACGUUUGUUCCGGAACAGCCGCCUUAAGCUCCUCCUCUUCCUGUCAGGUGUUUUCUUUGCAGCUGGAGCGCUGGGUGCAGCCCGUGCACCCCAGCGGCAGGCGGCGGGACACCUGCAGCUGCCACGAUUUACAGGUAUGCAAACGAACAGGUAAACUGACAGCUCGCUGUGUUCCAGGUGUGGUGAUGCGUUCAGGGUCGUGGCGGAUGAAUAAACGAACGUUAGCGAGGAAUCGUACAAGUCUGUAAAAUCUUCUUUAAAGUGAAUUCUGCAUAAAAUUGUGCAUCAGAAUAAGCAGGUGAUGUUAAAGAUAAUUAAUGCAUGCGUGUUUAAACACCUCUGAGGUGCAGUUCUGCUUUGUCCCUGCCACAGUCAGGACCCUGAAGGCAUCAGGUAUGGAAAAAAGUCAAGACAAACAGCAAACCUGAUGUUUGUUUGUGCUGUGAUGGGGGGGGGGGGGUCUGCACUGCUUCCUUAAGAUCUUAGAAAUCAGAUUUUGCGUCUUUUCUUUUUUGAUACAUUUAAAAAACUUUCAAAGACACAAGAACAUGUGAAAAAAAAACACGAUGCUUCACCGUCAGUCAUCUGGAGCCGAGCUGUGGCCCCCAAACGCCUGUCAGAUCCUCUUUGGGUCCUCAGACCCGGCAGGUCGGACCAUGCAGCCGCUUUGGCUUCAUUUACAGAACCAGCCUGUAAAACCUUCUGAACGUCUCUGUUCUUCAGCUCGGCUCUCAAACCGGGGCCACGGCGGAACCACAACCAAACCGGGGAUGAGGCGACAUCGGGGAACGGCAGGAAACGUCCAUGUUGGCGCCGUUACCGACCACACAGCUGACUCCGCCCAGCUCCUCGCUAAACGGCUAAAGAGGACCGGAGCUUCUUCAGCACCGAGUUCCGCCGUCGGACCGCCGACCUACCGUUCCUCAGCUCGUGCUUGACGGUGAACAGGUCACCCCCUUCUUCAGAGGACCCCUCCAUCGGGGAUGGCAUCGCGGUUACGUGUCGCUCAAGGGGGAUUCGCUUCCUCGGAGGUUCGCAGGGUUUUUCCGCGCGGGAUGAAAACGAAGGGAACGUCCAUGAAGGCCGGCCCGUCCGGCGGCGAGUUCGGCGGCGGAACGGGCUGGAGGAUGUCCCUGAAGCCCUUCCAGCGAACAGCCAGACCACUACCUCCGCGGUCAGACCGGCCCUCGCCGCUGAUUGGUGUUGCGAUGUUCAACUCUGACCUCUGAUUGGUUCUUCGCAUGGUGGCAACCAAUGGUGCCGCCUUCUUUGUGCUGCGUUCAAAUGCGCCUCGUCGGUUCUUUUUUUCUGAUAUUUUUAUUUCUAAAACGCUAAAAUAAUAAUUUUCUUAUUAAAAUGUUGAUGUGUUUUUAUCUGCUAUGUUAAAAAAAAUAAGAUAAGCCAAACAUAAAGUAUUUUACCCCCCCCCCCCACACACACACACACAAUCAACGGUAGAUUUAAAUCUAGAUAAAAAUGCCUGUAAGUUGUUUUACAAUACUGAUGAACCGAGCAGCAGUGAUCAGGCCCCGUUCUAUUAUAAGAGAAAACUGCUCGUCAGAACAUUUGUGAAAGCUAGUGUUUUUUUUCCCAUACAUUUUAUUUAUUGACAACAUAUGCUGCAAAGGUGAGAAUACAGCUCUGCCAAAAUGGGUUUUCUGUUCCAGCCACAAGUUUGUUUCUGCCUCAUGUUCUUAUCAACAGUUUCCACAAAUGAACCAGUUAUUCAAACAUUUAAACAAAAAGAGCCGUUAAUGUCAACAUAAGACAAUUAAACUUUAGUGUCAUAACAUGAAUGUCAAAUUGGACGACUUUGAAUGAAAGAUCUGUCUAAAUGGAUGCAGACUGCCCCCUUUGGUAGCUUCCAUGUACUGAAUGCAUGUUCCCAGUCGGGUUUAUUUUAAUGUCAAGUGGAAACUGUUUUUUUUGUUGUUGUUUUUUUUUUUACUUAUAACGGAUUCCUGCUAAAUUUAGAAAUGUGAGGAGGUUUCUGGAGAAGAAAAUAGAAGGUCAGAAGAAGCAGAUUUGUGUCUUUGUAGAUUUAGAGGAAGUCUAUGACGGGAUCCAGAGAGGAGCUGUGGUUUGGAUGAGGACGUCUGGAGUGACACAGAAGAACGAUGGAGAUCUUCAGGCCACGGAUGAGGGCUGGAAGACAGUGGUGAGAUGUUCUGUAGGGGUGACAGAGAUGGGGCUGCAUCAAAGGUCAGCUUGGAGCUCCUUCUUGUUUCCACUGUGAUGGACAGACUGACGGAUGAGGUUAGACAGGAAUCUAUGUGGACCAUCAUGUUUGCAGAUGAUACUGUGGAAAGGUUGGAAAGGUGGAGGAAAGUUUCAUGUGUGACCAAA